rnacentral:rRNA from 1 species
AAGACGGAAAGACCCCGUGAACCUUUACUAUAGCUUGACACUGAACAUUGAGCCUUGAUGUGUAGGAUAGGUGGGAGGCUUUGAAGCGUGGACGCCAGUCUGCGUGGAGCCGACCUUGAAAUACCACCCUUUAAUGUUUGAUGUUCUAACGUGGACCCGUGAUCCGGGUUGCGGACAGUGUCUGGUGGGUAGUUUGACUGGGGCGGUCUCCUCCUAAAGAGUAACGGAGGAGCACGAAGGUUGGCUAAUCCUGGUCGGACAUCAGGAGGUUAGUGCAAUGGCAUAAGCCAGCUUGACUGCGAGCGUGACGGCGCGAGCAGGUGCGAAAGCAGGUCAUAGUGAUCCGGUGGUUCUGAAUGGAAGGGCCAUCGCUCAACGGAUAAAAGGUACUCCGGGGAUAACAGGCUGAUACCGCCCAAGAGUUCAUAUCGACGGCGGUGUUUGGCACCUCGAUGUCGGCUCAUCACAUCCUGGGGCUGAAGUAGGUCCCAAGGGUAUGGCUGUUCGCCAUUUAAAGUGGUACGCGAGCUGGGUUUAGAACGUCGUGAGACAGUUCGGUCCCUAUCUGCCGUGGGCGCUGGAGAACUGAGGGGGGCUGCUCCUAGUACGAGAGGACCGGAGUGGACGCAUCACUGGUGUUCGGGUUGUCAUGCCAAUGGCACUGCCCGGUAGCUAAAUGCGGAAGAGAUAAGUGCUGAAAGCAUCUAAGCACGAAACUUGCCCCGAGAUGAGUUCUCCCUGAGACUUUAGGUCUCCUGAAGGAACGUUGAAGACGACGACGUUGAUAGGCCGGGUGUGUAAGCGCAGCGAUGCGUUGAGCUAACCGGUACUAAUGAACCGUGAGGCUUAACCUUACA